UGGAUAAUCACAGGACGAGGGCUCCUGUCAUCUCUGGGGCGUCCAACUCGGUGAAUCGUGUCGACGAGAAAGCCAAGCUUGUUUUUUUCAUCUGGAGCCAUUUGUCCAAAAAUCUGAAAGAUCUGUUUUCUUCGAUCUUCCGUGGACUCAUUGGUGGAUUCCGAAAUCCAAGAGAAGAGAUCGUCUUCCCUUAACACAGAAUGGAAUCAUCAGAGGAAAAAUCUGCUUCUUAAUCAGUUAGUUUCAGCGUUUGGGUGUACCCCACCUUUCUCCCGUAGACAGCUGGGAUAGGCUCCAGCUUGCCUGCGACCCUGUAGAAGGAUAAAGUGGCUAGAGAUAAUGAGAAUGAGAUGAGAUGAGUACCUCUCUCUCUUUGGACCGAUGUCAUCCUACAGUCUCUUCUCGAGCAAGGCAUGGUGAGACACUUUACACAAGAUUUAUGUAAGAUUAAUGAAUUGAUUGUUUCUUCUGUAAUAUCACAGGUUCCUGCUCAUCAUUGCUGUUUUCCAUUAAUGAUCUCUGUUCUGCCUUUUUCUGCCUUUUUUCCAUGCACAUGAGGAGAUAGCGUUUGGACUCAAGGUUUCAUUUGACUCUCCUGCUGUUUUUUUUCAGCUGUAAUUCAUAACGUACUCUGUGACCGUCUCCCUCCCUUAGGACUCUGUGGUCUGUGUGUUCUGGUAUCUGCUGAGUCACCAGAAAUCUGCCAAGACACUGACACUUGCACCUGCUCCAACAUCUGGCGCACAAGGGCUUUAAGGUUUUCAGGACCAAGCUGCAAUAAUGCAUGGACACUUAAAUAUUUGAACUUUUGAAGUUUUGAACUUUCUCAAGGCUGUCAUUCUAGACACAAAACGCCCUGCAACUAAACAUGCACUGAUGUCUUUUCUGGGUCAGAAAAUGGAUCCCUGACUGCUCUUUAUAUGACAAGCUUCUCCGUUCUGCAAUCUCUCAUCACGAUCCACUGCAACAUCCUUUGACCUGGACUGACGCUAUGGUGGUUGCUUAUCACUCCCUCAGAAGCACCCUUUGUUCCGCCCCUGGGUUACCUGCUCACUUCAAGCCCUUCCACCUCUAUGCCUGUGAACACCAAGGCACAGCCUCUGGGGAGCAUGGGGGGGGAGGGGGGGAAAUGCAUCAUUGUGCGUUUUUAUCCAAAACAUUAGACAUUGUUGCUCAAGGCUUACCUGUGUGUCUGGGGGCUGUCUCCGCAUGUGCUUUGAUGGUUUUAGAUGCGGAAAAAUUGGUUUUGUCUUACCCACUGAUCUUGCACUCGUCACAUCAAGUUAAACAGGUGUUGCAAAAUUUACAGACCCAUUAAAUUAAUUUAUCAGUAAUUUAAUUGAUAAUUAAAUUAACAUAUGACUAUUUAUUCUCUGUUCUACUAACAAUCUCAAAAUUUGUGUCACAUCCUCUUUUGAUAAUGUAGGUCACGCUCUCGCACACUUCCUUAAUUCUCAGGAUGACACUUGGGAUGACAUUAAUAUUGUCUGUCUAAAAAUCGUACAUACUACUAGUAUCAGGUCUGAUCUCUCCUCCAGCCCUCUAGGGAUGGGGGAAGUACUCUUUGUUGAUGGUUCUUGUUCUACACGGUUCUUGUUUUAUAAUUUAUGAUAUUUAUCAUACCUCUGUGGUUAUUCUGUGUGUUCAAUCAAUAUCAGCCUGAUAUUCUGCAUGAGACAUAUGCUCUUCCUUUCUCAUUUGAUUUUUGUCAUCUUGAUUGUGGACAAAUUCUCUAAAUGGGUAGAAGUUUUUCCCUGUUCUCGAGAGAACGUGAAGGUAGUUCACUCGUACUCUGGCAAAAGAAAUAAUACCUAGUUAUAAUAAUAAUAAUGAUACAUUUUAUUUAUGAGUGCCUUUCAAGGUACCUAAGAACACUGGACAGUAAAAAAGAAAAACAAACAAUAAAAGCAGAACAAUAAAAUAACAACAUUAAAAUAAUAAGAAAUCAAUAAUAAUAAUUAUUGUUAUAGUUAUGGGGUUUCAAAUGCCAUAGACUCAGACAAAGUGUCACUUCAAAAGUCACACUACUAAUGCUUUCUCUGUGUCCCGAGAAUCUCUGUUCUCUCUCUCUGUCUCUCUAUUUCUGAGCUCUACACAGAUUCGACUGAGAAUCCUCAAGACGUUGUGAACAAAGAGGGGAAGAGAUCUUGCGCCCCGUUUGGAACCAAUCAUCCUCACUACAACCAUGACAGUCCUCAUCACGGGUUUCGUGACUUCAUUGUUGCUCGGGGCAGGGCUACCCGCCCGAGCCUUCGUGACUGCUUCAUCUUUGCUCGGGGCAGGGUUACCCGCCCGAGCCUUCUGGACUUCAUUGCUCGGAGCAGGGUUACCCGCUCGAGCUGGACUUCGAGACAACAUCUUCUGGACUAACUUCACUAACUGGACUGCACAAGUGCACACCACACGAAUGUGUUAUGUCUUUCAUCUGAUGCCAUCUUCUACUAUUAUUACACAUCUCUAUGCUCUGAAACUCUGUAUUCUUACAGGACUCUGUUCUCACUAUAGGUCGAUAUGCCCUAUAAUUCCCUUAUAGUACCCUUCUAAUUUCAUUUUUCCCUCACUGUUUGAGAACAAAUUACUCUGAAGGAAGUAGCGUGUAUUUGGGACGAAUUAAGAGGUUUUGAGUUUCUCUAAGCUCUGGUGAGGUGGGACAAGGACUGAUCGGGCAUGCCCGCCCUCUGAGCACCAAUAUACGUCAAGAAGGGCAAAGAUUAACUCGAUUAAUUCUCGAUGUAAUCACAUAUAUGAUCAUGAGGUGAUAAUGAUCAAAUAUGAUCCUAGGAUUUGAUAAUAGUGAUACUAUUAUCAAAGGGGGGGGGAUUGUUAGGUUUAUAUAAGUAUUAUUCUUGGCCAAGAAGGCAGUAAUUUAUUAAAACGGUGACAAAAUUAAGGAUGAACUUCGGUCCAGUUAAAAUGACCUUCUGUCUCGGCUGGACAUUGUUUGGGAACAUUUUGUUUAUGUUUGAUAUGAAAUGUGUAUUAUUGAUCAGAUAUGUGUCUAAACGGCGCCUGGAGGUCUACAUAUGAUGUCAGACACACCAACAGACACUCACAGCUGAAUAUCCAAUGAUUGAAUGUAGUUUUAUAAUUACAGAAUAUAACAGGAUUGUUAAGACUUUAUGAUUCUAAUGUUAAAGAUUUUAUGAGUUUAAUCCUGAAUCCUGUCCUCCAGUGAAGUAGCAUUUCUUUGCUUUGCCAGACAUAUUCUUAUUUUUCUUAUUUUUCAUAUGACUGUUUUGUUUGUUUGUUCUUAUUUUGUUUAUAACAUAUAACAUAUAUUUAUAACAUAUCUUUGUUAAAAUUGUUUGUUAUUUUGCUUAUGAUUGUCUUACUACAUAUUGCUGAAAUCAAGAUGUAAUUUGCUGACUUAGCACAAGACACACAUUCAUGUGUUAAGAGUUUUGAUUUUAAUAUUUUUAGCUUUUCAUCUUUUAGCUUUUAGAUCCUUUAAAACUAUUGCUGUUUAAAUUGGUAUUAAUGUCUGAUGUAGUUUUCUUUGACUAGACUUCGUAGACUAGAUAUAUUAUCUGUGUUUAAGUACAUAGUGCCCUGACCUGAAGGGGGGUACGUAAGCAAUGACCUUUAAGAUGUCUGAACAAUGAAGUAAUUAAGACCUGCUCAUAUACACACAUACAUUCGACAGACACAAUAGCCGUUUGGAGAGAUUAUGAUUUGUUAUAAAAGGUGUUUGUAAUCUUUCAUCUUUGGCGAGAAUACUGUGAUUAAACAGCAGUUAAACUGA